AGAUAGUUGGUGAGGUAACGGCUCACCAAGUCCACGAUGGAUAGGGGUUCUGAGAGGAAGGUCCCCCACACUGGUACUGAGACACGGACCAGACUCCUACGGGAGGCAGCAGUGAGGAAUAUUGGUCAAUGGGCGAGAGCCUGAACCAGCCAAGUCGCGUGAAGGAUGAAGGAUCUAUGGUUUGUAAACUUCUUUUAUAUGGGAAUAAAGUGAGGAACGUGUUCCUUUUUGUAUGUACCAUAUGAAUAAGCAUCGGCUAACUCCGUGCCAGCAGCCGCGGUAAUACGGAGGAUGCGAGCGUUAUCCGGAUUUAUUGGGUUUAAAGGGUGCGUAGGUGGUUAAUUAAGUCAGCGGUGAAAGUUUGUGGCUCAACCAUAAAAUUGCCGUUGAAACUGGUUGACUUGAGUAUAUUUGAGGUAGGCGGAAUGCGUGGUGUAGCGGUGAAAUGCAUAGAUAUCACGCAGAACUCCGAUUGCGAAGGCAGCUUACUAAACUAUAACUGACACUGAAGCACGAAAGCGUGGGGAUCAAACAGGAUUAGAUACCCUGGUAGUCCACGCAGUAAACGAUGAUUACUAGCUGUUUGCGAUACACAGUAAGCGGC
rnacentral:rRNA from 1 species